GCCGGGCAUCGUCCGGUCGCCGUUUCCGGGGUCUCCGACGCCUCGGUGCGGCGGGCCGCCGAGCUGCUGCCCGACGUUCCGCUGGUCAGCCCGGCC
rnacentral:tRNA from 1 species